UACGUAGGUGACAAGCGUUGUCCGGAUUUACUGGGCGUAAAGAGCGCGCAGGCGGUCGAUCAAGUCGAGUGUGAAAGCCCCCGGCUCAACUGGGGAGGGUCAUUCGAUACUGAUCGACUCGAAGGCAGGAGAGGGUAGUGGAAUUCCCGGUGUAGUGGUGAAAUGCGUAGAUAUCGGGAGGAACACCGGUGGCGAAGGCGGCAUCCUAGACCGACACUGACACUGAGGAGCGAAAGCCAGGGGAGCAAACGGG
rnacentral:rRNA from 1 species